rnacentral:rRNA from 1 species
AUACGUAGGGGGCGAGCGUUGUCCGGAAUGAUUGGGCGUAAAGGGCGCGUAGGCGGCCCGGUAAGUCUGGAGUGAAAGUCCUGUUUUUAAGAUGGGAAUUGCUUUGGAUACUGUCGGGCUUGAGUGCAGGAGAGGUAAGUGGAAUUGCCAGUGUAGCGGUGAAAUGCGUAGAGAUUGGGAGGAACACCAGUGGCGAAGGCGACUUACUGGACUGUAACUGACGCUGAGGCGCGAAAGUGUGGGGAGCAAACAGGAUUAGAUACCCUGGUAGUCCACACUGUAAACGAUGAAUGCUAGGUGUAGCGGGUAUCGACCCCUGCAGUGCCGGAGUAAACACAAUAAGCAUUCCGCCUGGGGAGUACGGCCGCAAGGUUGAAACUCAAAGGAAUUGACGGGG